UGGCUCAGAUGGUAAAGAAUCUGCCUGCAAUGCAGGAAACCCAGGUUCAAUCCCUGG
rnacentral:tRNA from 1 species